GAGUUUGAUCUUGGCUCAGAUUGAACGCUGGCGGCAUGCCUUACACAUGCAAGUCGAACGGCAGCAUGAUCUAGCUUGCUAGAUUGAUGGCGAGUGGCGAACGGGUGAGUAAUACAUCGGAACGUGCCCUGUAGUGGGGGAUAACUAGUCGAAAGAUUAGCUAAUACCGCAUACGACCUGAGGGUGAAAGUGGGGGACCGCAAGGCCUCAUGCUAUAGGAGCGGCCGAUGUCUGAUUAGCUAGUUGGUGGGGUAAAGGCCCACCAAGGCGACGAUCAGUAGCUGGUCUGAGAGGACGAUCAGCCACACUGGGACUGAGACACGGCCCAGACUCCUACGGGAGGCAGCAGUGGGGAAUUUUGGACAAUGGGCGAAAGCCUGAUCCAGCAAUGCCGCGUGUGUGAAGAAGGCCU
rnacentral:rRNA from 1 species